rfam:Marine bacterium AO1-C Bin2_contig__7A_len_885938_cov_106.412_ID_13, whole genome shotgun sequence.
ACCGAGUACGCCGAAAAUCGGAAACAGAGUAGGUA